AACGGGUUGUCUGCUGGCUCGCGAGAGCAUGUGCACGCCUGUCUCAUCCACUCUCAACUUCUGUGCACUUUUCAUAGGCCGGCUUGUGGGUGCGUUCGCGCACUUGUAGGUGUCGGGCUUAUGCUUUAUUACAAACGAUUCAGUUUUAGAAUGUCAUACUUUGCUAUAACGCAAUUUAUAUACAACUUUCAGCAACGGAUCUCUUGGCUCUCGCAUCGAUGAAGAACGCAGCGAAAUGCGAUAAGUAAUGUGAAUUGCAGAAUUCAGUGAAUCAUCGAAUCUUUGAACGCACCUUGCGCUCCUUGGUAUUCCGAGGAGCAUGCCUGUUUGAGUCUCAUGGAAUUCUCAACCUUCGGCUUUAUUGACGAAGGCUUGGACUUGGAGGUCGUGCCGGCUCUCGUAGUCGGCUCCUCUGAAAUGCAUUAGUGCGAACGUUACCAGCCGCUUCAGCGUGAUAAUUAUCUGCGUUGCUGUGGAGGGUAUUCUAGUGUCCGCGCUUCUAACCGUCUUCGGACAAAUUUCUGAACUCUGAGCUCAAAUCAGGUAGGACUACCCGCUGAACUUAAGCAUAUCAAUAAGCGGAGGAAAAGAAACUAACAAGGAUUCCNCCUAGUAACUGCGAGUGAAGCGGGAAAAGCUCAAAUUUAAAAUCUGGCGGUCUUCGGGCCGUCCGAGUUGUAAUCUGGAGAAGCGUUUUCCGCGCUGGACCGUGUACAAGUCUCUUGGAAACAGAGCGUCAUAGAGGGUGAGAAUCCCGUCUUUGACACGGACUACCNGUGCUAUGUGAUGCGCUCUCGAUGAGU
rnacentral:rRNA from 1 species